GAUGAACGCUAGCGGCAGGCCUAACACAUGCAAGUCGAGGGAGAAGCCCUUCGGGGCAGAAACCGGCGCACGGGUGCGUAACGCGUAUGCAACCUACCUUUCACAGGGGGAUAGCCCGAAGAAAUUUGGAUUAAUACCCCAUAAUAUUAUUGGGUGGCAUCAUUUGAUAAUUAAAAUUACGAUGGUGAAAGAUGGGCAUGCGUCCUAUUAGCUAGUUGGAGUGGUAACGGCACCCCAAGGCUACGAUAGGUAGGGGUCCUGAGAGGGAGAUCCCCCACACUGGUACUGAGACAGGGACCAGACUCCUACGGGAGGCAGCAGUGAGGAAUAUUGGUCAAUGGUCGGAAGACUGAACCAGCCAUGCCGCGUGCAGGAAGAAUGCCUUAUGGGUUGUAAACUGCUUUUAUAUGGGAAGAAUAAGGAGUAACGUGUACUCUGAUGACG
rnacentral:rRNA from 1 species